GCCUGGGAGAAGAGGAGAGAGGUCCUUCUGUCAGAGCCUAUAAGGAUGAGCAUUUCUCUGGAUCUUCAAACCUCAAGAUAUGAACAGAUGUAACCUGAGCUUUGGGUAAAAUUGGCUGCUGAAUCUCGCGUUAUGGCUUGAGUCCCAUCUCUAGGUUUAAGGCAUUAGUCGAAUAUUGCUGAAUUCUACAACUCUGAAUGGGCUACUUUAUGAAUAGCUGCAAGAACAAUUGGAAAGUUA